AGAAAGGCCCUGUUCGGUCACUUGCAAUCAGACUAGACCUUGUGGUUGCUACAGUGACUGACCUGACGGGGUAUCGGGUGUGGGGACCUCUGGGAAGAAGACUGAGAGCCUGGAGGUCCAAUAGUGGUUGGCGAGGAAUCAACCAUGACUUGGUUUCAGAGUCCACUGGUUUGGAGCAGAAAGGAAAAUUAUGGCACCAGCUGGGAGCUGCAAAUGCCCUUGGGGGUUCCAGUUGCUGCUGGAGUCCUAGCCCUUCUGGCCCUCUUGGCAUUGGCUUGUUAUUUUCUCAGAGAGGCCUGGAAGUGCAGAUGGAAGCUUUGCCAUGAGGGCUGGACAUGUUCUCCAACUGGAAAGAGCCUACAGCUUGUCUUCGUCCACUGCCCAGAUCAGGGCCGGCUGGGGACCCUCUCUUCAGAGCCCCAUGGCGCUCCACUGCCUUCUCCACUGUCCUUCUGAAGGCCCAGGACAGCUCCUCAGCCUUGGGUCUGGAGUCACCCAUGUUCCAGAGGAGGUGGCUGUGUCUGCCAGGCCCCCUGCACCUGUAACAGCUGUUAGUGUUAGUGGUUGAAUCCAUGUGAUAAUGUGGGGCGAGGGGUGGGUUCUCACCCCACGGGUGUGGGGCAUGAGGGAGAGGUGACGCUAGCAGAAGUGUUUGCCUUCUCUUGUGACGGCACUGAAACUUUCUCUCCCUAAAGUCACCCUCAAGAAGCCAAGGCUCUGGCUACUCCAUCUUGGCCCGUUUUUCUGGGGGUCAGGCCUUGACCCAAGGGGAAGCCAUGAGCUAGAAGCAAAAGCCCAAGGCCCUCCAGAGUGGCCAAUGAAUGGCUCAGCAGGCAGAGGGACCUCCCCUCAGCAGUCUGACCUCCUCUCCCAAAAGCUCUGUCACUGCCCAGACAGUGCUCUUGGUUCUCGGGGUCUCGGGUCUCGUGUCUAAGCUGGCUCCUUCCUGGGACCACUGCAAUCUCACUCUUUGGAGCCCGUGAGCUCUCUUGGUUUGGCCCAGGCACCAGAGAAGUUGGGGCCCACUGAAGCAGAUCAGGGGUCCCUGGCUGGUGAGCAUGAGGCCCCGUGGAACUUCCCGGGUCAGGACACUGCUGCAGGCUACCCCCCUGUGCCCACUAUAACCUGGACCCCCGAGAUCACCUAGCACCACUUGAUUACUUUUUCCUGGGCUUCCCUGGGUCAGGAAGGGUGAAUUUAGUAAUGGCCGUAGGUCAGGGUCUGUCGGGUAGAGUCUGGAAGGGACUCCUGCCCCAGGAGAUGCACGGGGUCACGAGCCAGUUCUCUGGAGUGUAGACGUAACCCUGCAUGCACUAACACUCUUCUGAUUAGGCCACACUAUGUGGAGAUGGUGGAGGGAUUGAUGCAGAUUAAUUAUAGUCUCUAAUUAAUUAAAUCGUCUCUGAGUUAAGUAAGAGAUGGGGCCAGGAGCACUGGGGCACAGCUGUGGGCUCAGCUAAAUGUGGCAGGUUGAGGCAGCAGGAUGACUUGAGGCUAAGACAUCAAGGUCAGCCUAGAUAACAAAGCACAGCGCUGCCUUCACUCUCAGUGGGGUCUGCUUGACUGGCCUGGAACCUGGACGGCGGAUGGCCUGAUUUGGUCAGUGAACUUUCUGGAGUCUAGAUUCUGCCAUAGCUGCACAGGAGAGGAUGAGCUAACAGCCUUGAGUGUGGCUGUGUGACCCCCAGGCAAAGAACGCUGUUCAGCCCUCGCAGAGUCCUGGUUCACCGAAAGCCAUGAGCUAAUGCAUGAGUUUUUGGCAGCUGACCUCAGUAAUUUGUUCCAAAGCAGUCGUGUGCGCUGGACAGGACAGGAGGGUGGGCUUGAGGGCAGUGAGGAGUGAGACAAGUGUGGGCAGGGCUGCAGGAGAGCCUGCUGAGCUUCUAACACCCUCCUUUUGGGGCUGGAGAGGUGGCUCAGCGGUUAAGAGCAUCCAACUACUCUUCCAAAGGUCCUGAGUUCAAUUCCCAGCAACCACAUGGUGGCUCACAAACAUCUGUAAAGAGAUCACACAAUGCCCUCUUCUGGUGUGUCUGAAGACAGCUACAGUGUACUUAUAUAUAAUAAGUGAAUAAAUCUUUAAAAAAAAAAAAAA